AUUGAACGCUGGCGGCAGGCCUAACACAUGCAAGUCGAGCGGAUGACGGGAGCUUGCUCCUUGAUUCAGCGGCGGACGGGUGAGUAAUGCCUAGGAAUCUGCCUGGUAGUGGGGGACAACGUUUCGAAAGGAACGCUAAUACCGCAUACGUCCUACGGGAGAAAGCAGGGGACCUUAGGGCCUUGCGCUAUCAGAUGAGCCUAGGUCGGAUUAGCUAGUUGGUGGGGUAAUGGCUCACCAAGGCAACGAUCCGUAACUGGUCUGAGAGGGAUGAUCAGUCACACUGGAACUGAGACACGGUCCAGACUCCUACGGGAGGCAGCAGUGGGGAAUAUUGGACAAUGGGCGAAAGCCUGAUCCAGCCAUGCCGCGUGUGUGAAGAAGGUCUUCGGAUUGUAAAGCACUUUAAGUUGGGAGGAAGGGCAGUAAGCUAAUACCUUGCUGUUUUGACGUUACCGACAGAAUAAGCACCGGCUAACUCUGUGCCAGCAGCCGCCGCGGUA
rnacentral:rRNA from 1 species